rnacentral:rRNA from 1 species
CCUACGGGGGGCAGCAGUGGGGAAUAUUGGACAAUGGGGGCAACCCUGAUCCAGCAAUUCUGUGUGCACGAAGAAGGUUUUCGGAUUGUAAAGUGCUUUCAGCAGGGAAGAAGAAAGUGACGGUACCUGCAGAAGAAGCGACGGCUAAAUACGUGCCAGCAGCCGCGGUAAUACGUAUGUCGCAAGCGUUAUCCGGAAUUAUUGGGCAUAAAGGGCAUCUAGGCGGCCCUGUAAGUCUAGGGUGAAAACCUGCGGCUCAACCGCAGGCCUGCCCCGGAAACUACAGGGCUAGAGUAUCGGAGAGGUGGACGGAACUGCACGAGUAGAGGUGAAAUUCGUAGAUAUGUGCAGGAAUGCCGAUGAUGAAGAUAGUUCACUGGACGGUAACUGACGCUGAAGUGCGAAAGCUAGGGGAGCAAACAGGAUUAGAUACCCGAGUAGUC